GUAGUCUCGCACAGAUGCAUAUCAAUAAGCGGAGGAAAAGAAACUAACAAGGAUUCCCCUAGUAACGGCGAGUGAAGCGGGAAGAGCUCAAAUUUGAAAUCUUAAAGGGUUUCCCUUUACGAAUUGUAGUUUAAAGAAGUGUUUUCUGUUGAGGUUUUGGUAAAAGUUCUUUGGAAUAGGACAUCAUAGAGGGUGAGAAUCCCGUAUUUGACCUUUACUUUCAACUUUGUGAUACACUUUCAAGAGUCGGAUUGUUUGGGAAUGCAGUCCAAAAUGGGUGGUAAAUUUCAUCUAAAGCUAAAUAUUGGCGAGAGACCGAUAGCGAACAAGUACCGUGAGGGAAAGAUGAAAAGAACUUUGAAAAGAGAGUUAAACAGUACGUGAAAUUGUCAAAAGGGAAGCGUUUGACACCAGUGUUGUUUUUCUGAAAAUCAAUUAAAGAACUGUUUAUGCUAAGCUGUUUAGACUUUAUCAGCUAUCUGUUUAGUUUUGAGCUUUUCUUUAAUGCACUUUUCAGUUAACAAGUCAACAUCAAUUUCUUUUGCUGUAAAAAAGCUUGAGGAAGGUGGCUUGAGAUUCGUCUUAAGUGUUUAUAGCCUCUUGCCUAUGCAGUCGGAGAGAUUGAGGUCUGCAGCGUAGAUCCUUCGGGGCUAAAUGCAUUUGUGCUAAGUUAUAGCAUUUUAUAGACAACUUGUUGACUAUGAUUUGUCUUGUAGCUUACUCGCUUAUGUUAUUUUACCUACGCUUAGGAUGUUGAAGACUCUACAGAGAU
rnacentral:rRNA from 1 species